rnacentral:tRNA from 1 species
CUAAAAUGACAGAAAGAUGUGUAGGACUUAAGCCCCUAAAAGGAAGAUCUUCUUCUUUUAGAA